GAGCUGCCCAACCCGGGAGGGCCAGAGCCAGUCGGAGAGCAGAGCGUGAGUGGCCUGGAGGACUGCGGGUACCAGAUGACCACAUCCUGUCGGUUCUGUCUCUGAGACGACUGGCGCUACUGGUGGGGAUCAUCGCAAAUCAGCUUCAUUUCCUGAGUGGAAAGAGCAGACCUCUUCAUUCCCUCAGGAGGGAAACCUGAGGCACUGACAACAUGCUCAGCCUCACACACAACCACAACCAGUCCCUCUGCUGCUCAGAGGUCGGUGCGGUCUCAGGGCCCAGUCCAUGUCUUUCAUGAGCUUAACCUGUGGUUCUUGGAGUCCCUCCCACAGGCAGCCAGGCCACCCCCUGGCCCCUCAGCCUGCCUCCCAGGAUAGCCAGAUAGCCACAAUGGGCCCUUCCUUAUACUUCACCUUCACUUUUGUCUCCUUCUCCCCAGCCCGCCUGGCUCUCACUCUCGCAGGCUGAUCUUCCCACAGUGCUCUGCCCUCCUCGCCACCAGAGCUGACUUAUAUAAAUGCCUUUCCACCAGCCCCUCUCCCUUCUCGACCCUCCCCGUCUCUCCAGGUCCACCUCGAGCCCCACUUCUUUAUGAAGCCUUCCCUGAAACCCAAGGCCUGCAUGGUAGUGUAGUGCAAAAGCAUGAACUCAUAGUCAGACAUACCUGGGUCCGAAGCCCAGCCCUGCCUCUUACAGUUUCCACCUUUUUGGGUGGAAAAAGGGGUAGGGCUUGGGAUGUGAGAAUUUUAAAAGAAAGUACACGUAAAGCACCAGGUAAUUUGUAGGUAAAUUAUAAUAAAAAACCCCAAUACUCAAUGUCUCUACCUAAAUGUCACCACAUGCACACGGUGGUUCUUGAUUACAUUCAGUAUGGUGCCCUGUUAGAUACGGGGGAGUCACCAGCGACAUGGGGUUAGACUCGAAAGUCAGCAUAUUAGGCAAAAUAGAAUAUACUCAAAACUACCCUUAAAAGUCCCUUGAAUUGAUUACAACAUAUAGUCCAUAUGGUUUUGCAUGUACUGAUCUAUAUAUCUGCAUAAAAGCAUAAUGUAGAUAGUCAAGGACAGCUUAUAA